GACAGAGGUCCCGAGCGUUAGGCGGAAUCACUGGGCUUAAAGCGUGUGUAGGCGGAUUUGUAAGUACCUUGUGAAAUCCCACGGCUUAACCGUGGAACUGCUUGGUAUACUGGUUGUCUUGGGCCAUCUAGGGGCUACUGGAACAAACGGUGGAGCGGUGAAAUGCGUAGAUAUCGUUUGGAACGCCAAUGGUGAAAACAAGUAGCUGGGGAUGUGCCGACGCUGAGACACGAAAGCCAGGGGAGCGAACGGG
rnacentral:rRNA from 1 species